GACGAACGCUGGCGGCGUGCUUAACACAUGCAAGUCGAACGGAAAGGCCCUGCUUUUGUGGGGUGCUCGAGUGGCGAACGGGUGAGUAACACGUGAGUAACCUGCCCUUGACUUUGGGAUAACUUCAGGAAACUGGGGCUAAUACCGGAUAGGAGCUCCUGCUGCAUGGUGGGGGUUGGAAAGUUUCGGCGGUUGGGGAUGGACUCGCGGCUUAUCAGCUUGUUGGUGGGGUAGUGGCUUACCAGGGCUUUGACGGGUAGCCGGCCUGAGAGGGUGACCGGCCACAUUGGGACUGAGAUACGGCCCAGACUCCUACGGGAGGCAGCAGUGGGGAAUAUUGCACAAUGGGCGGAAGCCUGAUGCAGCAACGCCGCGUGCGGGAUGACGGCCUUCGGGUUGUAAACCGCCUUCGCCUGUGACGAAGCGUGAGUGACGGUAAUGGGUAAAGAAGCACCGGCUAACUACGUG
rnacentral:rRNA from 1 species